GACGAACGCUGGCGGCGUGCUUAACACAUGCAAGUCGAACGGAAAGGCCCUGCUUUUGUGGGGUGCUCGAGUGGCGAACGGGUGAGUAACACGUGAGUAACCUGCCCUUGACUUUGGGAUAACUUCAGGAAACUGGGGCUAAUACCGGAUAGGAGCUCCUGCUGCAUGGUGGGGGUUGGAAAGUUUCGGCGGUUGGGGAUGUACUCGCGGCUUAUCAGCUUGUUGGUGGGGUAGUGGCUUACCAAGGCUUUGACGGGUAGCCGGCCUGAGAGGGUGAACGGCGACAAUGGGACUGAGAUACGGCCCAGACGCCUACGGGAGGCAGCAGUGGAAAAUAUUGCACAAUGGGCGGGAGCCUGAUGCAGAAACGCCGCGUGCGGGAUGACGGCCUUCGGGUUGUAAACCGCUUUCGCCUGUGACGAAGCGUGAGUGACGGUAAUGGGUAAAGAAGCACCGGCUAACUACGUG
rnacentral:rRNA from 1 species